rnacentral:lncRNA from 1 species
AUGGUCAAUCCCACCAUGUUCUUCAACAUGGCCGUCAAUGGCAAGCCCUGGGGCCAUCAAACAGCCCUUCGAGCUGUUUGCAGACAAGAUUCCAAAGACAGCAGAACACUUGCAUGCUCUGAGCACUGGAGGGAAAGGAUUUUGUCAUGAGGGUUCCUGCUUUCACAGAAUUAUUCCAGGGCUUAUGUGUUAGGGUGGUGGCUUCACACGCCGUAAUGGCGCUGGUGGCAAGUCCAUCUACAGGGAGAAAUUUGAUGAUGAAAACUGUAGCCUGAAGCAUACAGGUCCCGGCAUGUUGUCCAAGGCAAAUGCUGGACCAACACGUACGGUUCCCAGUUUGGCAUCUGCACUGCCAAGACUCAGUGGUUGCAUGGCGAGCAUGUGGUCUUUGGCAAGAUGAAAGAAGGCAUGAGGGUCCAGAAAUGGCAAGACCAGCAAGAAGGUCACCAUUGCUGACUGUGGACAACUCUAA